rnacentral:rRNA from 1 species
UACGAAGGGGGCUAGCGUUGUUCGGAAUUACUGGGCGUAAAGCGCACGUAGGCGGACUAUUAAGUCAGGGGUGAAAUCCCGGGGCUCAACCCCGGAACUGCCUUUGAUACUGGUAGUCUCGAGUCCGGAAGAGGUGAGUGGAACUGCGAGUGUAGAGGUGAAAUUCGUAGAUAUUCGCAAGAACACCAGUGGCGAAGGCGGCUCACUGGCCCGGUACUGACGCUGAGGUGCGAAAGCGUGGGGAGCAAACAGG